CUGCGCCUGACCGUAUUGCAUUAUACCAGUUACUACUUGUCUCGAGGUUAUAAUGAAUUGUUAUAAGGUGGUUGUUUAAGUGAAAUAAGAGAUCUAAUUAAAUCAUUAAUAAUAAGAAUGUUCGAGGGUGCUAUAGCAGCGUUUUUAAAUCGUUUUUUGGGUCGAUAUGUUGAGGACUUAGACACUGAACGAUUUAAUAUCGGUAUUUUUUCUGGCGACACAUGUCUAACUGAUCUUAAAUUAAAACCCGAAGCCUUGUAUCAACUUGGAUUGCCUAUAAGAGUAGAGGCUGGUUUAAUAGGAAAAAUCAUUUUGAAGAUACCAUGGACUGGAUUGCUUUCACAACCAGUUGUCAUACAUGUAGAGGAUAUAUUUAUAGUAGCUGUUCCUAUUCUAUAUGGUCAAUAUAAUAUGGAAUUACAAAAGAAAUUAUUAAGAGCCGAAAAAAAGAAAAUCUUAGAAGAUCUCGAGGAUGAUAAAGCAUUUACUGCUGGGUUGCCCUUAAAUUUUUUUGACGGCAUAGUGACAUCGAUUAUGAGAAAUUUUCAGAUUACAAUAAAUAACAUACAUAUUAGAUAUGAAGAAAAACUAUUCUCUAGUUCUUUAUCUGCUUGUGGUAUUUGUAUACAAAGUAUAUCUAUGACAACAACAAAUAAUAAAUGGAAACCAGGAAUAUACUCGACUAAUUCGCAAACCCUUUAUCAAUUGGUGCGAGCGGAGUCUCUUAGUAUUUAUAUGGAUCACGAUACAGAAUCAUCUCUACAAAAUUGUCCAUCUAAAUGGGAUUUUGCUAGUUUUCUCGCAUGGAAGGGAACAAUGCUUAAAUCACUUCAAACUUUUGGCAUGAGAAAUAAAGAAUUUCAAUUUUUGUUAAAGCCGUUUACAGCUAAGAUUAAAAUAAUUAUACAUAAGGGCAGCGAUGUUCAAACUUCACGGAUUUUAAUCGAUCUCGUUCUCCAAGACGUGGCAAUGCAAAUUUCAGAAAUGCAAUAUAUUACAUUUUGCCAUCUGUACGAUUCUUUACAAAGAGCAACUAUAAAUAGACCUCACAGAAAAUAUCGACCUCAGAAUAAAAUCCAUGAGAAUCCCUCGUCGUGGUGGAAAUAUGCGUAUAAUUCUGUUCUAGAUCAAUACGUUAAACCAUAUGUUUGGCAAAAUAUAGCGAAGCAUAGGAAAAAUUAUAAAAAAUAUAAAGAAAUGUAUAACCAAAUAUUAUUACAACCAAACGAUACAGAAUUGAAAUUAGAUAUGCAAAAGUUCGAGGAUAAUUUGACGAUUGUGAAUAUAGUGAUAGCGCGCGAACAUGCCAGGCAGGAAUUAAGAAAUAAAAAAAUAAAACAAUCUCACGAAUCGUCGAAAGAAGACGCAGCGAUCAAAGAUGAAGAAGUUGUGUCGUCAAAUGAAAAUAAGUCACAAGAUAAAGCGCAAUCCGUCGAUCAGGAUAAGAGAAGGACGUUCUACAAUUUAAUCGAUAACGGUCCAAAUGCAAAAAUAAACUUGGAGAAAUUGUCAAGGCCAAUUGAUUACAAAUACAAUUUUACUUUGGCCAAUUUUUCAUUGAGCUUACUGAGCAAAAACAAGGAAGUACUUGUAGCUACUGUCACGCAAUUUCUAACAAGUGUUGAGACAGCACCAAAACUAUCGGCGUUUAAAGUUUCUGCCAGAGCAGAAAGUUGUGUAAUCGAAGGAGUUUCGCAGGAGGGUGAUCUAGUUCCUUUAACCAUCGUUGAUAAUGUUUUAACAGGAAAUGUGUCGACCAAUUUUUUGGCUUUAGAUUUUGAAAAAAAAAGAAAAGACAUAGAUCCCAGUUUUGAUCUAUCGAUCAAAUUAGAAACUAUCGAAGUUAUUUAUCAUCAUUAUGCAGUGAUGGAAAUUAUUAAUUUUUUUAAAUUAGGCAAUCCUUAUAUCGAAAAUACUCUUUCUUGGUCAUACAAACUAUGUAAUAAUGGUGUUAAGAAAUUUCUCAGUUUCAUAGAUAGCAUUACAUCGCAAGAAUUUCGAAUAACUAUCAAAAUUGAUAUCGGUGGGCCCUAUAUUGUAUUUCCCGAACACGGAUCUAUACAAAGAGAAGGACAUUUAAUGAUUUUGGAUUUCGGUGAUAUAUCGUUGGUAAACGAAUUGCAAGCAACUAAUUUGCAAUUAGAAGAUGCUACGCUUAUGGAAUUAGACGUGUCACUUUAUGACAGACUUCAUAUUGAAUUUAAAGGAGGACAAAUUCUUUGUUGUCAUUCAGGAGACGAUUGGCGGGCUGCUAGAAAACAAGAAGAUUCAGAAUAUCACUUCGUAUCUAAAAUGGAAGCAAAAACUACUAUUUCGUAUAGUAUCAAACCUGAAUAUCGUCAAUUACCAAGAGCGAAACUCAACGUAACUGUACAACGCUUGAAAAUCAACGUAUCGGAAAAUAAAAUACAAUUGAUAACGUAUUUUUUAAAUACUUUAUCUAUAUUUUGUUGGAAUUAUACUAAGAAAUAUCAGACGUUUAUGGAACAAAUAAGUCCUAAGACAAAAAGUAAUAUAUUUGUUUUAUCGUUAAAAAAACUCAAGCGAAUACAGAAUAGUAUAUGUCUACCGACUGUUACCAAAGCACAAAAAAAGUUUGAUCGUGUUAUGCAAGAACUUUUGAUUAAUAACGUACCAAGGCUUGAUAGAAGCGUCGUAUCUUCGGAAAUCAGUGAAGAAGAUUUGGAAUUAUUAUCUAAAGCUAUUAAUUUGUACGGUUUUGAUGAAAACGUGUCUCCGUAUAAUCAUAUGAAUUUUCUCAUAAGAUUUGCCAUUGGAGAACUUUCCAUUCAUGUGGGAUAUAUGAAUGAAACUAGAGAAGAACCGUAUUUAAAUUUAAGAUUACGUAAAGUAUCAACUGAAAUUGGUAUAAUGGAGUAUGGAUUUGCAAUUCAAUUUAUGAUAGAUUCUAUAAUUUUGCUCGAUCAAACAAAUGCGGAUAUUACUGGAUCGUAUUUGGAAUUUAUAUCAACAGGCAAAUGUGAACAAGUUUUUGAUUUAUCAUAUCGCAAGGUCAGAUCAGAUUGUCCAGAUUUUAAAGGGGUUUUUAAAAAUAUUGAAAGAUUGUUGCUUAUAAAGCUUUUGAACACGAACAUUAUUCUUCAUAGACCUGCGUUGUUGAAAGUAAAAAAAUUUUGGAAGAAUAUUAAUCAAAUAUUUUGCGGAACUCUUUUAUUCGAGUGUAUGAAGAAACUAUGUUUAGAAAUUAUUGAAUGGGAAAAGAACGAUCACGAUCCACCCAUUCCUCCAGGUGCAAUUAAGCUCAAUUACUCGGCAAGAAUUGGUACAUUAACCGUUCGACUAUGCGACAAGGACACAGAUUUAAUGAAAAUUGAGAUAUUAGGUAUUGAAAAUGAUUGUAUCUACAUUGCCAAUGAAAGAAUGGUCUUUCGUGUUUAUCUAAGAAAUCUACUCGUCGAAGAUUUGAACGAAGAAACGCUCUAUGCUAAAAUAUUAACAACCGAUGAAGAUAAAGUUUUAGAUUUGAAAUAUGUGAGGCACACUCCGAAGUUGUACGUAUGUUCUGACAUUGAUACGAAUCAGGACGAUGUUAUGUCACAUGGAACAUUUAAAUUAUCUAUCGGACGAAUUAAUUGCGUGUUGAUUACAAAGAUACUACAAGACUUACACUACUUCUUAGUGCCAUUUGCUUCAUCCUUUUUGACGCAAUUAAUGAUAUACUUGAAAAAAAAAUGUAUAGCCUAUGUUGAAGAAUUUAAAAGGAAUGCUAUUAAAUUGCAUAUUUUUAUUGACAUACAAGGACCUACAUUUCUUCUACCGCAAAAAAAAGACAUCGCAAAUCUGAUAGUUUUUGAUACAGGUAUACUAUCCGUUGAAAAUUUUUUCAAAAAAGUUGAUCUAACGACUCAAACAGUUAAAAAUCAUUCCAUUGAUGGGAAUCACAUAAUAAUGGAUAAUAUUCUAUUAAAAUUGAAAUCGAUGACUUUGUCUAGAGCUAUUAUGACAUUAAGCAGAGAUUUAGAAGUUCAAGAACCUAUUAUUGAACCUGUUUAUAUUCAUUUUGAUAUAAAAAGAAAAACAGAAUAUCAUACUAUAAUGGAAUAUGAAACAUUUGGACUCUUUAAAAUGCAUGGAUCUAUAGAUUUUGUAUGCAUAAAUCUUAGUCAAAGAGAUUUACAAUCCAUAAUGUCCGUAUGGAAAGAAAACAUAUCCAAAGUAAUUUUAUCUCAAAGAAAAUGUGAAAAUAAAAGAUUUUUCAUGGUAGACAAAUCCUCGGAGAGCGUUAAUACCGAAAAUGCGAUGGUUAAAAAAUUAGAAGUUUUUCUGGCUCAGAAUGAAGCCAAUUUAUGCGAAAUAAAUAUAAAUCUGACUUUGGACGGAAUACAAUUAAAUUUAUUUUUAGAUUCGGACGAAGUGUUGAGUUCACCUGUACGAGAUUUAAACCAUGGUUUAUGUAAAUUAAAUUUUGGAGAAAUAAUCAAUACAUUUGAUUUUUAUAGCGAUAAUAGUUUACAGAUGAAAUUCUCUCUGCAAAGCAUCAUUUUACAAGAUACGCGUAAAGAUUCUUUCAUUAUUAAAAAAAUUAUUCAAUCCCCAGCUAAAUUAAUAGGAUUAAAUGUUGAUUCGUGCAUUUCUGUUUCGUUAUCGCCAAUAGUUGAUAUAACGUAUAAUCAAGCACCAACGGGUGAUAAAUGUUUGAAUAUUCUUAUUCAAGAAACAAGAAUUAAUUUGUCAAUAUCAUUCUUAUUUCAUCUUGUACGAUAUUUUCUGGAUGCCUUACCGCAUGACCAAAUUGAAGGAGGCAUUAUCAAUCAUGGAUAUGAAAACAAUAGUAGCACAUAUAUCAAUGAUAUUACAACAGGAUCUAAUAAUGUAAAUUAUGAGCUAUAUUGCAAGGAACAACCAGAUGUUGCAGUAUCCGUACGAAUACAAAAGCCAGAAAUUUUACUAUUUGGGGAUUUGAAGUCAAAUAAUACGCAUAUAAUAUUAUUUCAAGCAGAAAUAAUAAUAGAGAGUAGUAGCCAUAAUUGUCUUUCUUCAAUAGUUUGUACAAUUACGAAUAUUCGUGCUAAAAGUACAAGUCAAGGAACAUAUCUUCGUCAAUCGCCACAUUGGUUGCUUCGUCCAUGUGAUGUUGAAAUUUGCAAAAAAGAAGAAUUGCUAAAUCAUACUAUGGACCUUGUAAUCUCUGUAAGUCCUGUUUAUAUUCACCUUUCUCCUGGAAUCAUGCAUACUUUUGUAGACAUAACCAAUGAAGCUUUGGGUUUUAUAACAAAUAUUGGCUUAAAAUUUGAAGAUAGAACUACUGGAAAUGAUUUAAAUCAACAUACUGAUUUAUGGUCACCCAAAAAUAUAUCUAGUAUACCUUACAAAAAAGUUGAAAAUGAAUUAUUGGGAAAUAUAGAACUGCUACACGAAUAUAACAAUCAAGAUAUAACUUUUUGUUUAAAGCCAAUACCGGUAUAUAUAUUAAUAGAAAUGGAAACGAGUAAAGAAAAAGUUCCUAUGGUACGAAUAGAAACUGUUAUUGACAUUAACAUCGAUUGCUCCAAAAAUUUUCAUUUAGAAUCUAAAUUAAACGUUCACGCGUUUUGUUACGACAUCGAUCAUAAAGUUUGGGAACCAUUUAUUGAACUAUGUACCAAAGAUGGUAUUAAGUAUAAUCCCUGGAUAUUGACUAUAAAAAUGUAUAACGGAGAAUCAUGCAUUAUUGAUUCUAAUUGGACAGAUCCAUGGCAGCGUACAAAUGAAGAUACAAUAAAAAAGAAAAAAAAUAUAAAUAAUAAUGAAGAGGACUCUAUGGAUAUGGUGUUUAUCAACCCGGAGCAUACAGUCUCUUUACAAAUGAAUGGAAUGAAAAUAUUUCCUGGAUAUGACGAAGACUCCGACACGGAUGACGAUGAAAAUGGAAAAAAAUUAACCAAAUCUACAAACUAUUUAUUCAGUAACGAAAGUAGCGAAGAUGAAGAUAGUGAUUCAAUUGAUUCGAGUACGAAUGAAGACGACGGCUUAGAUCUACCAUCGACCAGUAACGUUGAAUCAUCAAGUCCUGUUAACGAUGCACAGAUCAAAAUGGGACAAACAACAGCAACGUAUAUCAUAAUAUCUACUGAAGAUGUUAUUAAUUUUACGAUUACACCGAGUAAUCUUGCAAUUAUGAAUAUGAUUAUAGAUGCAUUUGUAGAGGUGAAGAAUGGUAUGCCUAUAAUACCUACAAAUAUAAGUGAAAUAAAUUUGCAAAAUAAUAUUGGUCAUGCUAGUAGAGUAGAACUGCUUGUUCAAGAACAGGUCGAUGGAAAAAUGACUACACGAAUUCUUACCGCAAGAAACUAUCAUUGUGAUGACUCUCCCCCAAGUACACCAAACACACCUGAUGCUGAGAAUAUGUCGCGUAGCACGAGCCCGCAAUGGAUUACCAAUGAAAACGGGUUAAUUGAUUUUGAAGAUAAUCCAUUGAAUUAUCCUCUUUUCACGCAAAAUAUUAUUUAUAACGAAUCUCCUAUUUGUUUAUAUAAAAUGAUCACUGGCGAAGUAUUGCAUAUUAUUAUCGAAGGUUUUAAAGAUAUUUCAAUAUAUUGCCCGAAAAGACAAGGUUGUAAAUUCAUUCCACUUCGACCAGUCAAACAAAACGUGGAGUAUUAUUUAAUUGUAGAUACGACUAUUGAUAAAAAUUUACAACGUACCAUUUCGAUUAGAUCACCUCUCCAGAUUAGAAAUGAAACGUCAUAUGCUUUAGCUCUUUAUUAUAAAAAACAAUUGGCAGAAACAUUACAAUUAGCGGAUAUUGGAGAAGCUAUAAAUCCUUUCGACGACAAUAUAAGAAUGGGGAUUAUUGAACCUGACUGUAUUUACAAUGUUCCGCUUUAUAUUGCAUACCAUUUUCCUAUUUAUGUAGAACCAGCAUAUUUGGAAAAUUAUCAGAUUAGCGAGGAAGGUAUUUUUUGGAAGGAACUAAAUAUAAUAACUGAUACUAGCAAAGAUGUGUUUUGUAAAUUAAAGAAUAAUGAAAAUCAAAGUGUAUUUUGCAUAAAAGUAGUGGGUACCGAAUUUCCAAUGGCAAUACCACAAGACUGCAGAGUACCAAAUUAUUUAAUAAAUAUUAUUCCACCUCUUAUACUCAAUAACCAGUUACCUUUUGUUAUUGAUAUUGGAAUACCUUCUAUAAAUUAUGAAGUAAAAAUUGAACCAGGUGAUAAAGUGAAUGUGCACUCGUUGAUGUGUACAGGUGAUAUACAAUUCCAUUUUAAGAUUCAAAAUUAUUUGGGUGCUCAAUGGAGUGGAACUAUAAAAGUCAAUAUGAAUUUGGAGAGAAAAUUUGUAUUAAUGAGUACGGACAAUGAAUCGUAUUUAGGAAAACCAUUUAUAAUACAUGUUGAACUGUGUAAAAGUAAAAGCUGGUAUAUUAUCAUUCAUGCUCAAUAUUGGAUAGUUAAUAAAACUGGUUUACCAUUAUUCAUACAGGAAUGUCAUUUAAAUUUAUCCUACGAGAUUCCAGAAGAAGAAUUAUUAGUUUUGUCGCAAAAAAAUAAUAAAAAAGAUACUAUUAGAUUAAGAGCGCAUCAAUCUGAAUGGUCCCUGCCAUUUAUUUUAAACGGAAUUAAUUCUAUGUCUCUAAUUGUUUGCAAGGAUAUCGAACGUGGAAGAAAAUAUCGAAUAUUAGCGGAGAUAGAUAACUCACGUUUAUCUCCGUUGUUCACCAAAAUUAUUAUCUUCUUACCAUAUUUUUUUGUUCAUAAUAAAACAAAAAAGGCCCUAAGAUUUAUGGAAGAAAAUGAUAAUGCUGAUUUAUGGAAUGAUUUGUUACCAGGACAAGAGAUACCAUUUUGGCCGGUUACAGAAUCUUUACAAAUGAGAGUUAAAUGGAAACAUAGUCAGUUAGAUUCACAGCAUUUUAAUAUUACACAAACUGGUAAAACUGUAUUAAGAAUGGAUAAUGGUUCAGCUCUAUGCAUAGAAAUCGAAGGUGGUGCAAAUACUCCAUAUUACAUUGUAUUUCGAAAAUAUAUGAUUGGAGAUGUACCAGUAAGGGUAGAUAAUCUUUGUAGCGAACUAUUUCUAAAAAUCAAUCAAAUAAAUUCUGGACAAGUGACCUUGUUAAAUCCAUUUCAAAGUAUACUCUAUACUUGGGAUGAUCCGAGUAUGCCAAGAGAACUAAUGUGGAAUAUUUACAAUAAUAAAAAAUCUAGCUAUAAAGCUCGAUUUGAUACCGAUGGUUUCGAACAAGAAGUUGUACCUUUUAUUACCGUCGAAUGCAGAGACGGUUGCACUGUAUCUACUGCUAAGUCCCUCUUACAUACAAGAUUGUCCUAUUCGCAAGAGAAAAUAAAUAUUAGUACCAAUGAUAAUAAAAAUGAUAAUUCUGAAACAGAACAAUCUAGACUAGGGCAAGUCCGAAAAGAUAAGAUUACUAUUUAUUGGGUAAGCUAUAUGGAAGGGACGCAACGUAUCUUAUUGUUCACUGAAGAUGAAAAUAUAUUUUUAAAAGCACGGAGUAUUAUUGAACCAGAAAUUAGUAAACGAGAAAUAUUUCUAUCGGUCGCAGGCGUCGGAGUUAGCGUUAUUUUAAAAUGCAAUGAGAAAAGUAAAGAAUUUCUAUAUGGAAGUAUAAGCGAUUCUUCCGCGUGUUGGGAACUUUGCUUUGGAAAAAAGUGGAAAACAUUAUCGCUUGAAUUAAGUGCUUGGCUGGAAAAUAAAUAUAUAAAUUCCUUCAAAAGAACACAAUUGGAUAACUUUAUUGACGUUGAUCUUGAAAAAAUGCAUAUGACAAAACCAUUUUUUGGAAAAUUACGCAGAACAUAUUCACCCGGAAUUUGGAUACAUUGCAGACAAUCGAUAACAAUGACGUAUAUGCAAAGUUACAUUCAUCGAAUACAGGGGUAUAAGCGUCAUAUUGAGAAUAUUUAAUAUUAAUCUUCAAGAAGAAGUCGCUUUGUCCUUAGUUAAUUUAAUUCCAAAAACAACUGAAACUAAGUAUUCCAUAGCAGCAAAACUUAGAAAAGAUGUUUCCAAUGUCCACAUACAUACUCAUCACAAAAAUAUUGACACUUUACGGCGUAACAAAACCGCUAUAAUUGAAUAUAUGUAUAUCUCUCCGAUCGUAAUAUCUUUAAAAUUAUUAGCUAAUACAGAGGGACCUAAAAUAUAUAAUUC
rnacentral:misc_RNA from 1 species